GUUCAUGGCCUUACCACCCUGAACACACCUGAUCUCAUCUGAUCUCAGAAGCUAAGCAGGGUCUGGCCUGGUUAGUACUUGGAUGGGAGAGGUCCUUUUGCCCUUCAUGGGCAAAACCCAUGACCCUUUUGACC
rnacentral:rRNA from 1 species